rnacentral:rRNA from 1 species
AUACGUAGGGGGCUAGCGUUAUCCGGAAUUACUGGGCGUAAAGGGUGCGUAGGCGGUCUUUCAAGCCAGAAGUGAAAGGCUACGGCUCAACCGUAGUAAGCUUUUGGAACUGUAGGACUUGAGUGCAGGAGAGGAGAGUGGAAUUCCUAGUGUAGCGGUGAAAUGCGUAGAUAUUAGGAGGAACACCAGUAGCGAAGGCGGCUCUCUGGACUGUAACUGACGCUGAGGCACGAAAGCGUGGGGAGCAAACAGGAUUAGAUACCCUGGUAGUCCACGCCGUAAACGAUGAGUACUAGGUGUCGGGGGUUACCCCCCUCGGUGCCGCAGCUAACGCAUUAAGUACUCCGCCUGGGAAGUACGCUCGCAAGAGUGAA